rnacentral:misc_RNA from 1 species
GUGAAGAACGUAGCGAAACGCGAUAAGUAAUGUGAAUUGCAGAAUCCAGUGAAUCAUCGAAUCUUUGAACGCACAUUGCGCCCGCCAGCAUUCUGGCGGGCAUGCCUGUUCGAGCGUCAUUUCAACCCUCGACCUCCCCUUGGGGAGGUCGGCGUUGGGGACCGGCAGCACACCGCCGGCCCUGAAAUGGAGUGGCGGCCCGUCCGCGGCGACCUCUGCGCAGUAAUACAGCUCGCACCGGGACCCCGACGCGGCCACGCCGUAAAACACCCAACUUCUGAACGUUGACCUCGAAUCAGGUAGGACUACCCGCUGAACUUAAGCAUAUCAAUAAGCGGAGGA